rnacentral:snoRNA from 1 species
AGCAAGGGCACUCUGUGUUAUCAUUUUACUGUGUGAUAAAACAAUUUGUAACCUUGCUAAAGAAAAACAAAAUUAGCUUUACACUUUUGAAAUUACGUACCUCAUUCGAAAGUGAUAUAAUUUUGUAACAAA